AAAAAAACUGAACCUUAUCUCUUACCUCUCCCUCACAAUGUGAGCUCUCCUUGUCCAUAGGAGGCGUGUUCCACAUCUUUCUUCUCUUCCCCAAGCCGAAGGGAAGAAACCCUUUCUCCUCUCUUCUCCAGCCAGCCUACUCCCUCCUCCCUUCCUUCCCCACUCCUCCCCAGGUGCCUCCUUGCUGCACCACGCCCUUCACCACCUCCAUGGUUGCCCUUUGAUUUAGGGCUUUGAGGAAGAAGGAAAGGAGACAAGAAGAGGGGGAACAAGAAAGCUUCCCCAACUUUUCCCUUCACCAAAUCUUUGUGUUUUGACCAUAGAGGUGAGGUUCCCCAUCAUUUAUGAUCUCUCACCCUCUAUUAGUGAUGAUUCACGGAGUAUAGGGUUAGGACUAGAAACCUAUGUGAAGGAAUUGGGGAAAAAGUUGUUCAUGCUGCUGUUUCUGGGCGUUCAGAUCUGGAAACCAGCAAUUUCGAGUUUCUUUAUGGCAAAAUUAGGUGGGGGUCAUGUGCAAUGUUUUGUAGGUAUUGUUGCCACAAUCGUUUUGAGUGGUCAUUCACUCAAUUUGGUUCAGCCGUUUAGCCGGGGCGAUAAAAACAAGUUGCUGCUCUGUUUCUGCAAAACAGCAUUUCUAUGGUUUUUGCCCAUAGCUUUUCAGGAUCUUCGAGGGCUAAUAAAUUGAUGCUAUACAAUGGGAUAGCUACCUGAUACCUUGUAGUUCAUAGAUCAAUUUUAUUCACUUACUUCCCAUGAGUAUUGGUCUUGCUAUGGAAUUCCAAAGGCGGCUACUCAUUAUUCCUGAAUCUGAAAACAGCAGAGAUGUUUUUGCUGGUUUUGACCCCCAUAACCUCAUAAUCUGAGGUUCAAUAGUUGGAGUUAUUUGUAGAUGAGUUUCCCAUGAAUCCAUACCCAUCUCGUUUGCGUGUUUUAAAGCUUCCUAGCUUGAGCUAUGAUUUUUUCCGUGAAGGAACAGCAAAGGGUUGCUUCCCGGGAAUGCGAUUAGCCGCGUUUUUGUGUGUGCUUUACAUAGCUUGCUUUGAUGCAAUCUUUAAAACUUGUAUGUAUGUCUCUUCAGCAGGUUGCAGCACCAAUCCAACGGAGAUAGCCUCGCACCACCUCCCUCGCAACGAUUGAGGCGAGUACACCGGGCAACAAGGGCUAGAUUGCUCCCUUAAUGUUAUGUUCAUGUUCACAUUAUUCCUUUACAUUCAUGCAAUGGUGAACAUACAACUCCCUAGUGUACAUUUCAAUACACCAUACCACUAGUAUGUGAUAGGGAUUGGUUUUUCUUGGUUCUUCUUGAUAACAAAUCCAUCAUGAGUGAAUCUUCCAAGUUCAAGGAGUGAUCCUCACUUCGGGAGUGUAUGGUCCUUCGGGUUCGUCCUCAUGUUAUGGUCCUCUCACUUGGUGAGGGUUGAAAAGGAGUGAGGUGAGAUGUCGCCCCUCCUCAGCUUGCCGGCAAAAGCUCAGAGCCUAGUCCUCGGUCUUAUUUGGCUGCAUCAUUUUCUUCAUGUUUUCUCAUGCCAUUCCAAGCAUGGAAGAUUCGAGUACAAUAUUUACUUGAUCAAGCAUGGUUCAUAUUCAUGGUAUUACUUGGCCAUUUUAUUACAUGCUUUGUUGUGUACUCGCUGGGUCUUUGGACUCACCCCUCGUGGACUUUGUUCCAGGUACAUCACUGUGAGGCUUUGCAAGUAUUAGGAAGGGCGUAGCUCCCAUGGGUGUCCACUCACACUUUUCAUACCCAUUCCAUCCACCUAGCUGAUCAUGAUAACUCUCAUACUUAGUUUAUGAUCGAUUCUUGGUAGCUAGGAUCUACUUGAGGUGUAUAAACUUUGCCUUGGUUUGUUUCCAUGAUCACUAUGUUGACCUGUCAAGGUGGGUUGGAGUUGACUAGUCCCCACCUUGCACCAUGGUGUGUUGGAACGUCUGUUUCCUUUUGCUAUGUGUAGCAUAAUGGUUGGUGGCUUCACCACUUUGCUCUACAUGGGUUGUAGGAGCCUGUUGGAUGCUUCUGCUUGUGAUAUUAUGAAUAUAUGCUCUGUUUAUUCAACUGCCUGUCGUGGAUGUCCGACGGUACAAAGGAGGUGCUGCCGGAUUUUCCCACAAGCAUUGUGUUUUGGUGGUAACAUUCCUUCUUACAAGGAGGGGUGUUAUAGUUGGUAUCAGUUAAGCUCUAUCUUUGCUAUACAUGCGUAAGCAUGUAUACCAACGAAAGAUCCUAGGACCUUUCAAAUGCUUGCUUGCUAGAUAUAAUUGUUUACUUGUUAGUGUAAAACAAAAUUGACGAGGGCGUCAAUUCUGUUGAGAUUGGGUGAGAUACCCCAAUUCUCUUACUAGUAUGUUGUCAGGUUCUUUCUAAAUAAAAAAAUCUUGAUUAGAGGGUUAAAAAAACAUGACACACUGGUGCACAAUAGGAACGAUCUCUUUAGUUAGAUACUUGCAAGCCUUGUUCUAUGUGCAUAGAUUGCUUGUUGUGUUUUCUAAUGCAUAUUAAGCAGUCUGGUGUUCGAGUAGUACUCGUUUCUGGGUCUCCUGGGUUUAUAUUUCAAUUAAUCCAGUGUCAAGUAUGAGCUUGUAUCUUUACCCGUCCAUAUUCUACCUUUUUAUUUCUUUGGUUGAUUGGGUAAUCUUCUUGUGUUCCUUAGAUGCCUAGGGGUAAAGCUGGUAGAAACCAAGUUCCACCCACUCGGUGGAAAACAGCAGCUGGUGCUAACCCCCAAGGUCGUGGUCGCAGGAGUGCCCAACCUGUAGCUGAGGAGAGUGGUGAGGGAUCAGUGGCAGCUAAUGAUGUUGCUCCGCCACCUCAAGCUGAGUUGCGUGAGUUGAUGCAAGAACUCCACACACUUCGACAGCAAGCUCAAGCCCAAGCCACAACUCUUGCACCUGCCAAUGCCUAGGGCAUGAUGAAUGAGCCAUUUGGCUCAAGACAAGUCAAUCCUCUUCUCACUUGGUCUAUGGUACACUCUGACACUUUUAAUGGGACUGGGACUCCUGUAGUGGCAGCUGAUUGGUUGCGCAUCAUGGAGCAACGCCUUGAGGUCAUGCAAGUGCAACCAGCCCAAAAGGUGAUGUUUGCUACUAUUCAGCUAAAGGGCAAUGCAGACAUCUGGUGGGAGAAUGUUCGUUCCUCUUUACCACCAGAGCAUGCCACACCUACUUGGGAGUUCUUUCGAACUCAAUUCAUUGAGAAGUACUAUCCGGCUUCCUAUGUAGAGAGGAUGGAGAAUGCACUAAGCAAGUUAAGGCAAGGAAACAAAACAAUACAGGAUUAUGAAACUGAGUUCAACGAUAUUAUCCGCUUUGUGCCAACAGUGGUUAAUAAUGAUAAAGAGAAGGCAAGGAGGUUCAAGGAUGGGCUAGAGCAGCAGUAUCGUGUUGUGCUCAGUGCUGCUGUGUCCUCUAGCUUUGCUUCCUUGGUUGAGAAUGCCAAAAAGAUAGAGUUCGAGCUGCAGAAUGGCUCACCUCCUCCAAUCAUAUCUUCCCCACCCGGUGGCCCCAGUAAUUUCUCUACUGCGGGUGCCAACCAAAAGCAAGACUAUGGUGAUAGCGGCAAGUCUAACCGCCACCCAAUGAAGAAGUUUAAGAAUGUCCAGCCUACCCCCAGCCCUUCAAGCAGAAGUCGCAGAAGGCCUCAUCCUCUGUUGGACCGCGUGUGCAAUAUCGUCCAAUGCCUGGGCAAGGGAUGAUGUGUUUCAAGUGUGGCGAAGGCCAUAGAGCUAAUGAGUGCAAUUGGACCGGUGUGUGCAAUGGCUGUCACAAAACUGGUCACAUGGAGCGGGUUUGUAAGUUGAACCCUGCUAGCAUUAUCAAGUGGCAGACUGUGUCUUCCCAACCUGAGUCCUCAUCAACGCCCAUGUCCUCACAUGGGUCUGUCCAAGCAAUGAAGAAUAUUCAAGCUCCUACGUAUCAAUAUGCAACCUGGGGUCCUCCUCCUCAAGGGUACUAUUGGCCACCAACUCACACAACGCCACCUAACUACCCAGUACCCCAUGCUCCUCCAAUCAUGCCCUAGAUUGGUGCUCCACCUGCACCAGCUUGUCAGAGCUUUUAUACCUUGCCUUCAUCAUCUACUACUGGACGUCCGGAUGUCAUGAUAGGUACUCUACCUGUCAACUCAGUUGAAGCUCUAGUACUAUUUGAUUCUGGUUACAGUUUCUCAUAUGUAUCGGUAGACUUUGCGAAUCGGGCAAACAUGUCUAGGCAAGAAAUUUCCCUACCAGUGAGGGUUAGUUCUCCAGGGGGACUCCUUUCUUGUAGCACUGUGUGUCCUGGCUGUGAUAUUUCUAUUGAGGAUGAAGAUUUCACUGCAAAUCUGUUCAUCCUUCCACUUCAGCCUUUUGAUGUAAUUCUUGGCAUGGAUUGGCUACAAGCUUACAGAGCAGUGAUCUCUUGCUUUUGGAGAAUUAUCACCCUUGACUCCCCCUCAGGGAAGGAGUGUGUCUACCAAGCUAGUGCACCUCCACCAUCUUUGUCAAUGUUGGCCAGUCUCUUUCUAGGCCAGCCAUCUCUGAAGAGUGGGAUAUUGUGGACUCUUCUUAGAAAACCAAGUACCCCACUGUGCCUCCAAAAUAUAGCAGUAGUGUGCGACUAUCCUGAUGUCUUCCCGGAUGAGCUCCCAGGCAUGCCUCCAGAGCGAGACACUGAGUUCUGCAUUGAAUUGAUUCCUGGCACUCAACCUAUUUCUAUAGCACCAUAUCGUUUGGCUCGACUCUUCCAGGAAGAGCUCAAGAAGCAAAUAGAUGACCUUCUCUCUAAAGGACUUAUUCGGAAGAUUGUUUCUGAAUGGGGUGCACCCGUACUCUUCGUUGCUAAGAAAGAUGGCAACUGGCGCAUGUGUAUUGAUUACCGUGCCCUCAAUCGGGUGACUAUAAAGAAAUCCACUUCCUCGUAUCGAGGACCUUUUUGAUCAAUUGAAGGGAGCGAAGGUUUUCUCUAAGAUCGACCUGCAAUCUGGUUAUAAUUAGAUUCGAGUUCGAGAGCAAGAUAUCAAGAAGACUGCUUUCUCCACUAGGUAUGGGCAUUAUGAGUUUAAGGUCAUGUCCUUUGGUCUGACAAAUGCCCCAGCUUGUUUCAUGGAGACAAUGAAUAGCAUGCUUCACCCUUAUCUGGACAACUUUGUGGUCGUAUUCAUUGAUGACAUUCUUAUUUAUUCCAAGACAGAGGAAGAUCAUGCUCGACAUCUCAGAAUAGUGCUUGAAACCUUGCGGCAACACAAAUUUUAUGCCAAGUUGAAGAAGUGUGAGUUCUGGCUUUCAGAAGUUGGCUUUCUAGGCCACGUAAUCAACCAACAUGGCAUAUCCGUUGACCCGAGCAAGACCUCCACAGUUGUUAAUUGGGCAAGGCCAACCAAUGUUAAGGAAGUAAGGAGUUUCCUGGGUUUCGCCGGGUAUUAUCGGCGGUUUGUAAAGAACUUUUCUACCAUUGCCAAGCCAAUGACCAAGCUCACACAAGUCAAUUCCAAAUUCCAUUGGGAUGAGGAUUGUGAAAAGAGUUUUUGUCAUCUUAAGGAGCGAUUGGUGACUGCCCCGAUCUUGUCGCUACCUGAGCCAGGUAAGCGUUUUGCGGUAUACUCAGAUGCAUCCCAACUUGGACUCGGAUGUGUGCUCAUGUGGGAUGACAAGGUUAUUGCCUAUGCAUCCCGACAGUUGAAGCCACAUGAGCAGAAUUACCCAACCCAUGAUCUAGAAUUGGCAGCAAUCGUUCAUGCUCUCAAAAUCUGGAGGCAUCUUCUCUAUGGAGAGGUUUGUGACAUGUAUACAGAUCACAAAAGUCUGAAGUACAUCUUUACUCAGAAAGAGUUGAAUCUAAGACAGAGAAGGUGGUUGGAGCUGAUCAAGGGUUAAUAUCUCACCAUCCACUACAAACCCGGCCGGGCCAAUGUGGUUGCCGAUGCCCUAAGCCGCAAUGUAGUGGCUCCUACCGUGGCAGCCCUCUCAUCUGAGCUGGAGAGAAUGGAUAUUUCCUUCUGUUAUGCGGGCACAACACAAACGGAAAUCCAGUUAUCCAUCAAUCUGACAUUGUGGAGCGCAUUAGGCGAGCACAAGAACAAGAUCGUUUGCUAAUGCAAGCAGCUAAGCGCGUCCGUGAACGAAGGGUAGGUCCAUUCACCAUUGAUGGAACUGGAGUUGUGCGAUUUCAUGAUCGCCUUUGCAUUCCGCAGAGGUCGCAGGUGAAAGAUGAUAUCCUCAAAGAAGCUCAUCGCACCCCUUACACAGUUCAUCCUGGUGAGACCAAGAUGUACGAUGAUCUAAAGCAAAACUUCUGGUGGAAGCGGAUGAAAGUAGACAUGUCUAAGUAUGUGGCUUCAUGUGGCGUUUGCCAACGAGUCAAAGCCGAACACAAAAGCCCUGGUGGGAAGCUUCAACCUUUGGAGGUCCCGCAAUGGCCAUGGGAAGAUAUCACCAUGGACUUUGUCAUUGGCUUGCCACGCACCCCAAGAGGUAAGGAUGCCAUUUGGGUUGCGGUGGAUCGUCUCAGCAAGUCGGCACACUUCAUUCAAAUUCGUACUACAAACUUAGCUAGUCAAUUAGCUCCAAUAUAUACACGUGAGAUCAUUCGUCUCCAUGGUGUGCCUAAAACGAUCAUCUCUGAUCGUGAUGCAAAGUUCACCUCCAAAUUCUGGGAGAGCUUACAAAAUGCCUUGGGUACCGAGAUCCGUUUCAGCACAACUUUUCACCCUCAGACCGAUGGUCAGUCCGAGCGUACCAUUUAAACUCUCAAAGACUUGCUUCGCACAGGUGCCCUAUCAUGGCAAGGUACAUGGGAAGACCACUUGCCUCUUGUGGAAUUCGCCUAUAACAACAGUUAUCAUGCAAGUAUCAAGGCUGCACCCUUUGAAGUCCUUUAUGGCCGAAGGUGUAGGUCACCUCUCUGUUGGGAUUCAGUGGGUGAGCGAGCAGUUCUUGGACCGGAUUGGGUUCAACAAACAGUUGAUCGUGUCGCAGAGAUUCGUCAAAACAUGCUUACAGCGCAAAGUAGACAUAAGAGGUACGCUGAUGUCAGACGACAAGCUCUAGAAUUUCAUGUGGGUGACCAAGUGCUUCUUAAAGUGUCACCAACCAAAGGAAUUGUGAGAUUUGGCACCAAAGGCAAGCUUAGUCCUCGGUAUGUCGGGCCAUUUCCUGUGAUUGCUCGAGUCGGGAAGCUUUCCUACCGCAUAGAUUUGCCACAAUCAAUGCGUGGAGUGCACAAUGUUUUCCAUGUUUCCAUGCUUCGGAAGUAUCUUGAAGACUCUGAACAUCUUGUUCUUACCGAGCCGGUCACCAUUGCACAAGAUCUUACACUCGAGUCCUGUCCAUUGAAGAUUCUUGACGAGUCUGAGCGUGCCUUGAGGCACCGAAAGCUCAAGUAUGUGAAGAUUCUUUGGACUAAUCAAACAGAACGAGAAGCAACCUGGGAACUAGAGUCCCAAAUGCGCGAAAAGUACCCAGAAUUGUUCUCUGAUGGUACGUUCUAACCACUAAAAUUCUUUCCUGUUAUGUUCUAUUCCAUGUAUGAAGCUUUUCCGGUAGUUUAAGGACAGAAGAACUCGUGGGCGAGUUCUAGUUAAGGUGGUGAGACUGUAACCCCUGGUUCCUAAUAAUCGAUUUUUUCCAUAAAUCGUGCUUUCGGACUCUCUUUAUCCAUGUUUACUUGGUCCAUCAAUUCAUAAACCCGACUCUUUAGUUGCGUUGGGCUCGCCGAGAUAGUCGAAAUGCACUACCUAUCUCCUCGAGUCGGACUCCGGGUUCAUCUCCUAUGAUUUAUUUCAAUCCCAUGGCUUAUAUUAUUAGGAAAUUUCAAAAAUAUUCUCUAAUUCAGGAAAUAGGAAAAAAAACUGAACCUUAUCUCUUACCUCUCCCUCACAAUGUGAGCUCUCCUUGUCCAUAGGAGGCGUGUUCCACAUCUUUCUUCUCUUCCCCAAGCCGAAGGGAAGAAACCCUUUCUCCUCUCUUCUCCAGCCAUCCUACUCCCUCCUCCCUCCCUUCCCCACUCCUCCCCAGGUGCCUCCUUGCUGCACCACGCCCUUCACCACCUCCAUGGUUGCCCUUUGAUUUAGGGCUUUGAGGAAGAAGGAAAGGAGACAAGAAGAGGGGGAACAAGAAAGCUUCCCCAACUUUUCCCUUCACCAAAUCUUUGUGUUUUGACCAUAGAGGUGAGGUUCCCUAUCAUUUAUGAUCUCUCACUCUAUUACUGAUGAUUCAUGGAGUAUAGGGUUAGGACUAGAAACCUAUGUGAAGGAAUUGGGGGAAAAGUUGUUCAUGCUGCUGUUUCUGGGCGUUCAGAUCUGGAAACCAGCAAUUUCGAGUUUCUUUAUGGACAAAUUAGGUGGGGGUCAUGUGGAAUGUUUUGUAGGUAUUGUUCCCAUGAUCGUUUUGAGUGGUCAUUCACUCAAUUUGGUUCAGCCGUUUAGCCGGGGCGAUAAAAACAAGUUGUUGCUCUGUUUCUGCAAAACAGCAUUUCUAUGGUUUUUGCCCAUAGCUUUUCAGGAUCUUCGAGGGCUGAUAAAUUGAUGCUAUACAAUGGUAUAGCUACUUGAUGCCUUUUAGUUCAUAGAUCAAUUUUAUUUACUUACUUCCCAUGAGUAUUGCUCUUGCUAUGGAAUUCCAAAGGCGGCUACUCAUUAUUCCUGAAUCUGAAAACAGCAGAGAUGUUUUUGCUGGUUUUGACCCCCAUAACCUCAUAAUCUGAGGUUCAAUAGUUGGAGUUAUUUGUAGAUGAGUUUCCCAUGAAUCCAUAGCCAUCUCGUUUGCAUGUUUUAAAGCUUCCUAGCUUGAGCUAUGAUUUUUUCCGUGAAGGGACAGCAAAGGGUUGCUUCCCGGGAAUGCGAUUAGGCGUGUUUUUGUGUGUGCUUUACAUAGCUUGCUUUGAUGCAAUCUUUAAAACUUGUGUGUAUGUCUCUUCAGCAGGUUGCAGCACCAAUCCACCGGAGAUAGCCUCGCACCACCUCCCUCGCAACGAUUGAGGCGAGUACACCGGGCAACAAGGGCUAGAUUGCUCCCUUAAUGUUAUGUUCAUGUUCACAUUAUUCCUUUACAUUCAUGCAAUGGUGAACAUACACCUCCCUAGUGUACAUUUCAAUACACCAUACCACUAGUAUGUGAUAGGGAUUGGUUUUUCUUGGUUCUUCUUGAUAACAAAUCCAUCAUGAGUGAAUCUUCCAAGUUCAAGGAGUGAUCCUCGCUUCGCGAGUGUAUGGUCCUUCGGGUCCGUCCUCAUGUUAUGGUCCUCUCACUUGGUGAGGGUUGAAAAGGAGUGAGGUGAGACGUCACCCCUCCUCAGCUUGCUGGCCAAAGCUCUGAGCCUAGUCCUUGGCCUUAUUUGGCUGCAUCAUUUUCUUCAUGUUUUCUCAUGCCAUUCCAAGCAUGGAAGAUUCGAGUACAAUAUUUACUUGAUCAAGCAUGGUUCAUAUUCAUGGUAUUACUUGCCAUUUUAUUACAUGCUUUGUUGUGUACUCGCUGAGUCUUUGGACUCACCCCUCGCGGACUUUGUUUCAGGUACAUCACCGUGAGGCUUUGCAAGUAUUAGGAAGGGCGUAGCUCCCAUGGGUGUCCACUCACACUUUUCAUACCCAUUCCAUCCACCUAGCUGAUCAUGGUAACUCUCAUACUUAGUUCAUGAUUCUUGGUAGCUAGGAUCUACUUGAGGUGUAUAAACUUUGCCUUGGUUUGUUUCCAUGAUCAAUAUGUUGACCUGUCAAGGUGGGUUGGAGUUGACUAGUCCCCACCUUGCACCAUGGUGUGUUGGAACGUAUGUUUCCUUUUGCUAUGUGUAGCAUAACGGUUGGUGGCUUCACCACUUUGCUCUACAUGGGUUGUAGGAGCCUGUUGGAUGCUUCUGCUUGUGAUAUUAUGAAUAUAUGCUCUGUUUAUUCAACUGCCUGUCGUGGAUGUCCGACGGUACAAAGGAGGUGCUGCCAGAUUUUCCCAC
rnacentral:lncRNA from 1 species